rnacentral:rRNA from 1 species
UUUGGGCAAGAAGACCCUAUGAAUUUUAAAAAUUUCAAUAUAAUAUAAUAUUAUAUUGAAAUUUUUUAAUUGGGGCGAUUAUUAAAUAUUAAAAACUUUAAUUUUUUUAAAAAAGAACCAAUAUUAUUGGUUAUUUGAGAAAAUACUCUAGGGAUAACAGCGUAAUAAUUUUUGAUAGUUCUUAUAGACAAAAUAGUUUGCGACCUCGAUGUUGGAUUAGGAUUCUUUUUUAAUGAAGAAGUUAAAAAAAGAAGUUUGUUCAACUUUUAAAAUCCUACUUGAUCUGAGUUCAGACCGG